AUUUUGUAUGCUAGAGAUGUGGAGUUUAUACCUAUCUGUUCUGAGUGCUUCUCUGAGUGUUCUCUGUGCUUGGCCAGAAUUUGUAAACAAAAUCCCCAAUGGGUCAACAAGAGGAACUUCCACCACCAAUGGGUCAACAAGGGGAACUUCCACCGCCUCCAGGGGAUAAACCAGAAAUUAUGCCUCCACCAGAGGACCAGCAAGCAGAAAUUCCAUCUCCACUAGGGGACCAGGAAGGGGAAAUUCCCCUCCCGCCCAGGGAAAUUCCUUCCCCAAUGGAUCAACCAGGGGAACUUCAACCACCUCCAGGGGAUCAACAAGGGGAAAUUCUUCUUCCUCCAGAGGAUCAGCAAGCGGGAAUUCCCCCUCCACCCGGGGAAGUUCCACCACCAGAAGUUCAACUAGGGGACCUUCCCCCUCCUCCAGCCCCCUUGUAGCUCUGAAAUCCUUUAAGGAUUGGGAAAAAUAGAUAUUUUGUUCCUGCCACUAGGAUUCUACAGCGAGCAUUAUUGAUGGUUUUCCAUGUUUAUCGUCUGUUUGUUACAGUUAGAAGAACAAUUUAGACACAUUGAUGUUUUAGAAAUACUAUAUAUACCUACAAGUUUGGUCAACCUUAAUAGGAUUUGUUUUAAUCCUAAACUAAGCGAGACCUUGGUCGUCUGUGUGAAAACGAGUUGAUUAAUCACAAAGUUUGAUAUGAUGCCAGUGACAACGGUAACAUUUACUUAUAAAUCAUCUGUAUUCUGAAUCAGGUACAUGAAGUAAUAAAAUUUCAUGUAGCAAGGAAGUUUCUUCUCUCUUUUUUUUUCUUUUUUGAUUUUUUUAAUUCUUUAUAAAUAAAGAUUGAAAAUG
rnacentral:misc_RNA from 1 species